rnacentral:tRNA from 1 species
UGGUCAAUUUUACUUAUUGGUACAGUUAGGCUAUUUGCUAUAUAGUCCCUUUUUAGGAUCAGUGUUCGAUUCACUGAUUGGCCGU